rnacentral:snRNA from 1 species
AGCUUUGUUCAGUGGCAGUAUCGUAGCCAAUGAGGUUUAUCCGAGGCCCGAUUAUUGCUAAUUGAAAAAUUGA